rnacentral:rRNA from 1 species
GAUGAACGCUGGCGGCGUGCCUAAUACAUGCAAGUCGAGCGAACGGACGAGAAGCUUGUUUUUCUGAUGUUAGCGGCGGACGGGUGAGUAACACGUGGAUAACCUACCUAUAAGACUGGGAUAACUUUGGGAAACCGGAGCUAAUACCGGAUAAUAUCUUUAACCGCAAGGUUUAAGAGUGAAAGACGCUCUUGCUGUCACUUAUAGAUGGAUCCGCUCUGCAUUAGCUAGUUGGUAAGUUAACGGCUUACCAAGGCAACGAUGCAUAGCCGACCUGAGAGGGUGAUCGGCCACACUGGAACUGAGACACGCUCCAGCCUCCUACGGGAGGCAGCAGUAGGGAAUCUUCCGCAAUGGGCGAAGGCCUGACGGAGCAACCCCGCGUGAGUGAUGAAGGUCUUCGGAUCGUAAAACUCUGUUAUUAGGGAAGAACAUAUGUGUAAGUAACUGUGCACAUAUUGACGGUACCUAAUCAGAAAGCCACGGCUAACUACGUG